UAAUGUUUUACAUGUUAUUUAAAAUAUAACUUAGUAAUAUUAUAGUAUGCAUAAGCACAUUACAGUUACAAGUUCAAAAACAUUUUUAUUUAUGCCGAUGUAUUAUCAGAAACGGAGACUGGGGCCACAGUGGUUAAGAGUCUGACAGACCUAUGGUCAGACGCCAACUUUAACAUUUACUGGCUCUGUGAUUUGGGGUGAGAUAUUUAACCUUUCGAAGCCUCGGUAGCCUCCAUUUAUAAAAUGUGUAACUGUUUCUACUUGUGAGAAAAGUGUAAAAAGAUUCUUGUUUAGAGGGCCGGCCUGAAGGCUGAAAGAGACAGAAAAGCAUGCAGUCUUUGUAAACGAUGUGGAGGGAAGUCUGCUGUCCACUCCCUUGUCUCUGCUUGACGACUGAAUGAGAUGGUUUGCAUGGGGAGGUAGCACAGUGUGAGCCCGAGUUCCUGCCAUCCUUCUACAGCUCUAAAUUCCUUCUGCUUGUUGUUUCACACAAGAGUCGACUAGGAAGAGCAGAUUCUGGGAAACCUGCAAGGACUGUGCGAGCAAAUGUUUUAUAGUGAGAGAGGAAACCUUGCAAAGGGAUUCUUCCCCUGUGGAUGGUCAGUGUCAGUAUUUCCUGUACGCUGAGAGUUGGGAAGGUCAACAGCCAUAUCCCACCUGAAAACAAAAUUGAGUAAGUUAGCAAGGUGGCCUGGCUGCCGGUGAGGAUGAUCUGUUGUGUGGAAGGGAUUCUUUCCGUAGUGACUUUUAAACUCCUGAGGUCCUCAUUAUUAUGACACUGUCAUAUUACAGAAACAACUUUCUCUUUGGAAGUUUUACAAAUUAGGAAUUUUUUCUCCCAAUUUUCAAAUACCUUGCAUUCAAAUCAGAGUACCAAUGAGAAUUCCUGUAAAAAAUGCAGUGUAGUUCUGCUACAUUUCCCCAUUGGUUUUUGUAAUGACCUUGUUAAUGCUAACAUUACAGUAUAAAACAAAAGCAUUGUUUGUAUAACUUCACACCUGUAAUGAAUAACAAGAUUUUGACACAAUUACUAUGAAGAGACAUAUAAACUAUUCUUUACAAUAUGGGAAUUAUUCUAAUACACAUUGGCUCAAAAAUAGUUGUUGAUUACUUCCUGUGGAUACACAGCUUCUGAAUAGCUAGUAUAGUGAAUCAAAACGGAUGGGUGAUAAUGGCCUCAGCCCUGAGAGCCCUUCCUCUGCCCCAACGUGGUUUGAAUCUGCACAGAUACCAUUUCUGACUCCUGGAAACCCUUUGUAAAUGUCUUUAUUUUAUUCUAAACUAAGUGGAAUUAGUUUACAUUUGAUGUCUUAUUUACAAUCCUAAUAAUUAUCAUAAUAUGUUUACUCUGUGUUUCUGAGUAAGUAUAAAUUCUCCAAAGAACUAUUUGGCUCCUAUAGUGAUGAUCAUUAACUAAAUAAAACAUAAAGGGUCUCGAAAAGUGCUAAUAAAAAUUUAGCAUUAUAAACUAUCAACAAAAAUACUUUAGCACAGUACUAUUAGACAUCAACCAAAAACAAGAGAUAUCAACCCAAAUUACCCUAUAAACCUGUAAAUACUUAAUUCUCAGGUAAGAAAAAAACAAAGAGUAGAGAGAGUGGUGAAAAAGUGCAACUACAACCCUGUAAAGAAAAAAAAUUCUUUGGUGACGCUUGUUAAAGCGCAGUAAGGCAGACUUUAUUCAGGACCACUGCAAUAGAUACAUGGACCACUGCAGUGGGACUGUGCAGCGGGGAAGAGAGACCAGGCUCCAUUCUGUAUCUAGCAUGGACAAGUGGGAAUUCAUAGCCAAGAAGCCAGGCUGGGGUCAGGAGACAGAAAAUUACUGAGAGGAAACAUCAGUGGUGGGGGGAUUUUGGCUGAACCGACCUAACAGGAUUCUUGCCAGAGGCAGUCCAGAUUGGUCAGACAUCCCCUCCCCUGGGGAGGAUAAGGAACCCGAUCAGAUAUUGGAGUGAUCAGAUAUCAUGGGUGGCGUAUUCUUGCUAAACUGACUCAGCAAGAUUCUUUUUUAAAACUGGAUUUUACAAGGAGCUGCACAGAUGGGCCUAGGAGAAGGAUCAGGAGGCUGACUAAGGUUUAGCCAAGCAGAGAAUCUUUGUCAGCUCUGACAGGGAAAAGGGAAGGAACAUCCCAAGACUGAGUGUUAGCAUGUGUAAGUAUUGCUACUCAUUAUGGUUAUUAUAUAUUGACCAUCUGCUGUAGUGUAUCAGACACACACAUACACACAACCACCCUCUAAUCUUAAACACACACACACACACACACCACCCUCUAAUCUUAAACACACACACACACAUACACACAAUCACCCUCUAAUCUUAAUUUUAACCUUAAAAGGGGGAUAUUAUCCUCAAUUUAUUAUUGAGAAAACUGAGACUCAAGAGUUUAAGUAGCCUGAGUGACACACUUAAUGACAUUAUUGAUUUCAAAGUCCAUUUUCAUUCCAUUAUACUAGUGAGUAGUACGCAUAUCAUUGACGUCUCACAAUAUGAUUUCAGACGUUACAUGGGCAGACUUCUUAAAAAUUUUUAAUGAUUAGAUUAUAAAGUUAUUGAAAGAGUGUGGUUAGCAUAUCAAACCCAUGAUUUUAUGAUUAUUGCUAUAAUUCAGUGAUGGCAAGUUUAUUUAAAGUAAAAGAAAAUUAACAUGGAGAGUUAAUAUGAAGUCACAAACGGGAUAGGUGUGUAUGUAGAUGGCAAGUAUACUGCAUAUCCUGAGAAUUGUCCCUGAAUGGCUGGGGUUUGGUGAAUGCUACACUGAGCAUUUGUGUCACCAGUCAGUGGACAACCUGAAACACUGCUCAUACUGAAAAUUUGAUUAGAUGAGUCCGAGAAGCAAGACUGAGCUUCUCACUAAGUUACAGUGUACUACCAAAUUUAAUGCCUUGAUCAUAUUGAAAAUAAGAAGUUUUGUAUCUUCAUCAGGAAUAUUUCUUUAUAAUUAAACUAAUAAAAAAGGAAAAUGUUUCUCAAGAUUCAUUUACUUAACAAAGUUUGGAGGAAUGAAAUAUCUAUUGCGUACUUACCAAGUGUGAGUUACUAUGUAUCCAGGUGCUCUCAUACAUAUUGUGUCAUUUUAUUCCUAAGAACUCCUGUAGGAUUGUCAUUCCUUAAUUUUACAAAAGGAGUUGACAUUCACAGAAUUUGAGCUUGACCAAAGUCACAAAGCUAAUUAAUAUCAGUUAGUCCUCAUACUCUGUUCUCUUUGAGACCAAGCUUACGUUCUUUUGCCUAACUCAAAAGCAACUAGUAAGGGGGAAAAAAAUGGGUUCCUAUAAAUGUAGAGAAGACCACCACAUGGAAUCUUCAUGCAUGAUCUCCACAAGUGUAUGACAACACGGUAGCAGGGCAAAGGCAUGGUAGCGGCAAUAAAUCAGUUGCCACUGUCACUUUACUCUUUAAUGUUCUUGAGAACACAUGAGAUUUAUCACUGAGGAAUUGUAGAAUAAUGGUGGUAAAUGAAAACAAAGUCCACCAGGGAGAUGUACUACAUCAUUUGGAUUUAGCGCUGCCAUCUGCUUAAUAGCAUUGAGAAGACUACAGCAGUACUUAUGAUCAACCAUUCAUAGCAAUGACAGAUGCUGCGGAGAGUGAACAUACCAGGGAAGCAGGUUCAUUACUAAAAUGUAGAUUAUGUGACAGGGUUUCUAAAAAGCACUUGUGUUGAUGAUCAAACCUCCAAUUUUAAAUCUGCACUGUAGAAUUUUAAGUCUGUAAGAUAAAGACCUACUCAAAAGUCUUCCCAUGUUUUAUUCCUCAUGUUUCAUACAUUCUUAAAAUAUAUUUACUGAUUUUUAAAAGAGUUUUUUUUCCUACAGAUCUUGCAUAUAUAGUCUCUUUUUAGUGGAGGAGAAUAAUAACUUUUGUAUAAUUUCUGACUUUUAAAAUGAGGUAGCAUGAU